UGGUGUCAAGAUAUGAUGAUGAAUAUUGGGAACAAGACAAUGAAGAUUAGAGUGACUCCUUAAAUUACUGAGUCUCCAAUCCUUUAUAUAGUUCAAAGCCGCACUCCAGACCUAUUAAAAAAAUUGCUACCAACAGGUAUGCAAGCAGGAAGUAAAAAGUUUCAAAAGAUUAGUAUGAUAAUGAGUAUGCUGAUUACAAAGUUGAUGACAAGAUGACGAUGGCGAUAAUCCUGACUAUGGUAGCACAGGUCGUGGAAGGGGCGUUAAGGUGUGUCUUAUGCGGAGCAUUGUUCAUAUUCUAUUUGGUGUGCUUGGCCUUGUUACUGGUUACUUCAUGUACUUUAAUUUUUCAAGAGUAAGUGCUUAAUUGGCAUUUGACAUAUCUUUUAGCAUGUCCAUUUUUGGAAUAUUAAUUUUACAGUAGGAAAGUUUGGUCCUUGUCAUUCAUGUGGAGUUCCUUAUUAUCCAGAAUAUAAUACUUGAAAAGUCUUGUGUAUAGUCUUGUGUGUAAUGGUUUAAUAUAUUCAACUAUAUGAAUUUUGUACUCUUUAUGUUGUAUGAAAAUGUUGAGAGUUGUAUGGAUGAUUUGAUGGUUUUAGAAGAAAAUAUAAGCUAUUUGAUAGGUGGCAAAAUUUUGAUAGUAUCAGACAUUUACAAUAUAUGUAAGCACCAAGUAAUAUCAUACCGAACGAUUAAUUACAAGGGUUACACUUUAUUAUUUGGAAUGGAUGUUACAUUGUCCAUUUUUUUGGCAUAUUUUGGUCAGACAAUAGCUAAUCAUUUUUCGGUAAUUAACUCAAUCAAAUAAGUUGAUUGUUUAUCGCUUUGAGCUCGUAACUUACCCCUUCAAAUUUAUAUUAUUCAUUAUGCUACAGUUUAUCAAUACUGAUUAUAACAUUUGUACUAAUUAACACGGGAUACACGUGCAACGCACGUGUCCGGAAAUUAGUUUCCAUAAAUGAUUCUUUUCAUAGAAAUACUAUGGGUGUCUAUAUUCUUGAUUCC